rnacentral:rRNA from 1 species
CCUACGGGUGGCAGCAGUGGGGAAUAUUGCGCAAUGGGCGAAAGCCUGACGCAGCGACGCCGCGUGAGGGAUGAAGGUCUUCGGAUCGUAAACCUCUGUCAGCAGGGAAGAACGGUCACUUUGCUAAUCAGCAGUGCAUUGACGGUACCUGCAAAGGCAGCACCGGCUAACUCCGUGCCAGCAGCCGAGGUAAUACGGAGGGUGCGAGCGUUAAUCGGAAUUACUGGGCGUAAAGCGCUCGUAGGCGGUAUGUCAAGUCAAGGGUGAAAUCCCCGCGCUCAACGUGGGAACUGCCUUUGAAACUGGCAAACUGGAGUGUGGGAGAGGAUAGUGGAAUUCCAGGUGUAGGAGUGAAAUCCGUAGAUAUCUGGAGGAACAGCAGUGGCGAAGGCGACUAUCUGGCACAUAACUGACGCUGAGGAGCGAAAGCGUGGGUAGCAAACAGGAUUAGAUACCCUUGUAGUC